UACGGAGGGGACUAGCGUUGUUCGGAAUUACUGGGCGUAAAGCGCACGUAGGCGGCUCGUUAAGUCGGAUGUGAAAACCCGGGGCUCAACCCCCGGGCCUGCACCCGAUACUGGCGGGGCUGGAGGAAGGUAGGGGAGAGUGGAAUUCCCGGUGUAGCGGUGAAAUGCGCAGAUAUCGGGAGGAACACCGGUGGCGAAGGCGGCUCUCUGGGCCUGUCCUGACGCUGAGGCGCGAAAGCUAGGGGAGCAAACAGG
rnacentral:rRNA from 1 species